AUUGAACGCUGGCGGCAGGCCUAACGCAUGCAAGUCGAACGAUGCCUUCGGGCAUAGUGGCGGACGGGUGAGUAACACGUAGGAACCUGCCCGGAAGUGGGGGACGACUCCGCGAAAGCGGGGCUAAUACCGCAUACGGUCUACGGACCAAAGCCUUCGGGCGCUUUCGGAGGGGCCUGCGGCGGAUUAGCUUGUUGGUGGGGUAACGGCCUACCAAGGCGACGAUCCGUAGCUGGUCUGAGAGGAUGAUCAGCCACACUGGGACUGAGACACGGCCGAGGCUCCUACGGGAGGCAGCAGCGAGGAAUUUUCCGCAAUGGGCGAAAGCCUGACGGAGCAACGCCGCGUGGGGGAAGAAGGCCUUCGGGUUGUAAACCCCUGUUGCGAGGGAAGAAGAUCUGACGGUACCUCGCGAGGAAGCCACGGCUAACUACGUGCCAGCAGCCGCCGUAAUAC
rnacentral:rRNA from 1 species